rnacentral:lncRNA from 1 species
AUGGACAUUCAUUUUCCCUACCUUUUUUUCCACCACAAUGUAUAUUCAAUUUAAAACUUGAAUGCUCUAUGACGUUUUUUUAUUUAUUUCCCACACGUCCAACCUUGAAAUAUAAUGGUUGUUGCCAUGAAAACUGCUGGUACUUCAGAAAAUGCUCAAAGCCCUGUUGGGUCAGCUGCAUCUGUUGGUAUUCAUUUAUCUCCUAUCAUGGCAUCUUUUUGUAA